AUACGUAGGGAGCGAGCGUUGUCCGGAAUUACUGGGCGUAAAGAGCUCGUAGGUGGUUUGUCGCGUCGUCUGUGAAAUUCCGGGGCUUAACUCCGGGCGUGCAGGCGAUACGGGCAUAACUUGAGUACUGUAGGGGAGACUGGAAUUCCUGGUGUAGCGGUGAAAUGCGCAGAUAUCAGGAGGACCACCGGGGGCGAAGGCGGGUCUCUGGGCAGUAACUGACGCUGAGGAGCGAAAGCAUGGGUAGCGAACAGGAUUAGAUACCCUGGUAGUCCAUGCCGUAAACGGUGGGCGCUAGGUGUAGGGGUCUUCCACGACUUCUGUGCCGUAGCUAACGCAUUAAGCGCCCCGCCUGGGGAGUACGGCCGCAAGGCUAAAACUCAAAUGAAUUGACGGGG
rnacentral:rRNA from 1 species